rnacentral:rRNA from 1 species
CUACGGGAGGCUGCAGUAGGGAAUCUUCGGCAAUGGACGGAAGUCUGACCGAGCAACGCCGCGUGAGUGAAGAAGGUUUUCGGAUCGUAAAGCUCUGUUGUAAGAGAAGAACGAGUGUGAGAGUGGAAAGUUCACACUGUGACGGUAUCUUACCAGAAAGGGACGGCUAACUACGUGCCAGCAGCCGCGGUAAUACGUAGGUCCCGAGCGUUGUCCUGAUUUAUUGGGCGUAAAGCGAGCGCAGGCGGUUAGAUAAGUCUGAAGUUAAAGGCUGUGGCUUAACCAUAGUACGCUUUGGAAACUGUUUAACUUGAGUGCAGAAGGGGAGAGUGGAAUUCCAUGUGUAGCGGUGAAAUGCGUAGAUAUAUGGAGGAACACCGGUGGCGAAAGCGGCUCUCUGGUCUGUAACUGACGCUGAGGCUCGAAAGCGUGGGGAGCAAACAGGAUUAGAUACCCCGGUAGUC